GCAUAAGUGAUUUCCCCUCCUGCUCUUUUGUUUUCUUUGCUAAACAAUGAGCACACACAUACAUGAAGCCCCUCUGUCAUCUUCAUCAAGUUCCUCACCCAAAUCACAACACUGAACCUACAUAAUCACCCUCAUCUUUCUCUCGAUUACUCUCAUUUUCUUACAAACAAAACGCAGGUGGUGGCGGCGUUUGGCGACUGCAACAGUGGCGGCAAACGAGCGGCGGUGGUGGUGUGGCUCGGUGGGUUUCACGGCGGCGACGAGACUAGAGUCCGCCGCGACGGCAGACGAGCGGCGGUGGUGGUGCUUGGUCCGACGAGUUCACGCUCGGGUCAGGUUACGGGUCUCGGGUCAGUCGUGGUUCGGGAGAUUCGGAGUACACCGGGAGACCGCAACCAUCGGAGACGAAUUCGUCUCCGGAGUCGAGUCGGAAGUUCAGUGACUUCUGUUCGUUUUGGGUUAAUCAUUUUGUUCGUUCCUUGGAAUUUCUCAAUCUUUACUCGUGCGUUAAUUCAAGAAAUUCUCAUACGCAACCAAGUUUUGUCCUUUUUAAGGAGGGAAAGUUUGACACUCAAAGGAAAAGAUCCAAGAGACUCUCUGAACGGAAAUGGAGUGAGGUUAUUAAUUUAGACGAUUCUGUGGACAAUGACAAAGAAGAGGAAUUAGAAAAUACUGCCGAUUCAAGCACAAACCAGAAAACCCAAUUAAAAAUACCUCCAGUGUCAAUUCAGAAGCGGAACAGAUUUCAUACAGUCUAAUAUGAAACCUAUCAAGUGUUUUUAUGUUUUUUUUUUCAUUUUCAGCCGUUAUGUUUGAUCUGGAUAUAUGAAUAAAGUUUAUUUUAUAUUUGAACUUUA